GACGAACGCUGGCGGCGUGCUUAACCCAUGCAAGUCGAACGGUGAAGCGCCUUCCUUUUUGGUGGGUGUGGAUGAGUGGCGAACGGGUGAGUAACACGUGAGUAACCUGCCCCCUUCUUCUGGAUAACCGCAUGAAAGUGUGGCUAAUACGGGAUAUUCUGGGUCUGUCGCAUGAUGGGUCUGGGAAAGAUAUUGUUUCGGUGGGGGAUGGGCUCGCGGCCUAUCAGCUUGUUGGUGGGGUGAUGGCCUACCAAGGCGGUGUCGGGUAGCCGGCCUGAGAGGGUGGACGGUCACACUGGGACUGAGACACGGCCCAGACUCCUACGGGAGGCAGCAGUGGGGAAUAUUGCACAAUGGGCGCAAGCCUGAUGCAGCGACGCCGCGUGAGGGAUGGAGGCCUUCGGGUUGUGAACCUCUUUCGCCAGUGAAGCAGGCCUGCCUCGUUUGUGGGUGGGUUGACGGUAGCUGGAUAAGAAGCGCCGGCUAACUACGUG
rnacentral:rRNA from 1 species